CUUUUCUUUGCUGUUUUCUUUUCAUCGUUUCUUUUGUCUUUGUGUUUAAGUUGCAAAGCCCAAAAAUUCCAAAAACAUUUCUCUUUUGCCCUUAUUGAUUGUCAACUAUUUGAGGUAUUCUUUUGUUUUUUUCUUCCUAUUUUUUUUGGAUGUUUGUUUGUUGUUCGCGGAGGGCGAGGUGACGCAGAAUCGGAGGGUGGACAGCGGCGAAGCACAAAUCUUCUCGGCGAAGGAGGCGGCGGCCGAAAGAAUGGAGAGCUCGCCUCCGACGUCGGAGCUAUCAACGGGGAAGAUGAAUCCCCAAGCGCUGGGUUGUAACAAGAGGCUUAGGAUUGGUGCUGCCGCACCGAGCAGAACACCGCACCCAAGUUGAAUCAGCGCACGAUCGAGAAGGCUGUCAGGUGUUGCAGAGAGAACCCAACUGAAAACGUGAUCACGCCGGUCCUUGGUACUACUUUCGACUUUUUGGGCGAAGCAUACGACUUGUGUGUACAUGUAGGUGAAUAUCAUCCGGAAAGCAUGGUGAAGCAG
rnacentral:rRNA from 1 species